UACGUAGGGUGCAAGCGUUGUCCGGAAUUAUUGGGCGUAAAGAGCUCGUAGGCGGUCUGUCGCGUCGAAUGUGAAAACCCGGGGCUCAACCCCGGGCCUGCAUUCGAUACGGGCAGACUAGAGUUCGGUAGGGGAGCCUGGAAUUCCUGGUGUAGCGGUGAAAUGCGCAGAUAUCAGGAGGAACACCGGUGGCGAAGGCGGGACUCUGGGCCGAUACUGACGCUGAGGAGCGAAAGCGUGGGGAGCAAACAGG
rnacentral:rRNA from 1 species